CAAAAAAACAAAAAAAAAAAAGAAUUUCCAGAUCUAUCCAUUUUCCUAAUUUUUCUCUUUAAACAGAUAAAUAAAAUCCAGAUGUGGUACCACAUUCCCAUUAUUCAUUCAUCGGUUCACGGACACAUAGGCUGACUCAUUUCCCACCUUGAACACAGCCACAGUGAACAUGCAUGUGGGGGCUUCUCCGUGCUAGGAUGUAGAGCCCUUCGGGUAUACAGCCAGGAUCACUCUAGCUGAGUCAUAUGGUAAUUUGAUUUUCAGUUUGUUCUAAUACACCUCCACCCUGAUUUCCAUGGUGGCUGCACCACUUACACUCCCACCAGCACUUGAAUAAGAGUCUCCUCUCCACAAACCCACAACUGCAUUUGUUAUCAUUUGUUUUCCAGAUAAUAGCCACGCUACCUGAGGUAAGAUCCAGUCUCUCAAGGUACUUUUAAUUUGCAUUUCCCUGGUAGCGAAGGACAGUCUGCUGGUCACAUUUGUUUGCUAUACACAAACUAGAGACACCUGGAAAGAGGAAACCUCAACUGAGGUGUUUCCUCUAUCAAACUGGCCUGUGGGCACAUCUGUGUGGUAUUUUCUUGAUGCGAGUGGAUGGUAGGGGACUCAGCCCACUGGACAGUACUCCCCCCGACAGGUGGUCCUGGGAAGUAUAAUAAAGGUAGCUGACUAUGAGCCUGGGAACAAGCCUGCAAGCAGCUUUUCUCCAUGGCCUCUGCUUCACUCCCUGCCUCCAGGUUCCUGCCUUGACUUUGCUCAGUGAUGAACCAUGACAUGGAAGUAUAAGAUGAAAUAAACCCUUCCCUUCCGAAGCUAGCUUUGGUGGGUGUUUGAUCACAGUCACAGAAGGCCAACCAGGACACAAAUUGGUACCAGAGAGUGGGAUCUUUCUAUGACGGAGUUGACCAUAUUGUUUUGAGGGGAGGCUUGUGGGAAGCUUUCAGAGUUUUUGUCUUGAAAAGCCAUAGGGUCCUCCCAGCUUCUCCAAGUCUGUGGGAGUUUAGGAAAUAAUGCUGAGGCAACUGAAGAGGAUGGAGUCCUGGCUUGGAAGGACUCAAAGACACAACCAGGUUGUGACCCUCAAAGACACCACCAGGGCAAAUCAUGUGCUAUAUUUAAGAGUCUGGAAGUAAAGGCUUUGUUUUAUCGGGACAAUAGACACUAGUAGACUGCGGUUGAGAAGUCAGCUGUGAUUACCAAGAGACCAGCAUCGUUGAGAGGAAGGCACUUCCUCAGGGUCAGCUCACAGAAGCUGUGAUCCAGUCAAGUGUCGGAGGCAAGGCUGCACAUGAAGCUGGCAGCAGAGCUUUGUAAAUGAUGUGCCCCGUGUGGUACCGACUUCAGCAUCAUGAAGGCUGCAGGUCUGAAGGGGUCAAGGAGAGAGGUUGACACUUGUCACCAUGAGCCAGGGUUGGAAUCCCCAAAGAGGCCAUUGGUGAAGGUGAAGCCUCAGGUGCAGUGAAGGCCCCUGGUAUUAGAGACACCAGAACCAUGAGAUGACCAUCAAGGAAGGUGCAGAGGGGAGCUAGCCUUAGCCUUCUAGACAAGCUGUGCGCUGUGCAUCGCAGAGGCAGAGAAGUAGAGAUGCACAAGCCCUUCGGAACCAGAAAAUCAUGAGUGAGUCCCUGAUUACUGAGUUAUUUUCACUGUUGGAUUUUGAUUUUGCCUUGAACUGGUUGUGAUUGUGCACUGAUUCUUCUCUUGGAGUAAGAAUGUAUUUGGCUUGAUUUGGAAACACUCAUAGUUAAGAGACUUGAAUCUCAAACGAGUCAUUGAACUUUUAAAUCAUUUAGAAAUUUUAAAAUGUAUGCAGUGUUUUCUUUCUUCCUCCCCCAGCCCCCCCCCUUUUUUUGGGGGGGGGUUUCGAAACAGGGUUUCUCUGUGUAGCUUUGUGCCUUUCCUGGAACUCACUCUGUAGCCCAGGCUGCCCUCGAAUGCACAGAGAUCCACCUGUCUCUGCCUCCUGAGUUUGUUUUCUUUUAUGAUAUUGAUUAAGAUCCUUGGUACAAGCGAGAAAGGAAAGGAUUUAGUCUUAUAGUGACAUGUUUGCGUGUCAAGUUGAACACUUUUUUAAAAUGUGCAUUCUUGUUUCUUCUUCUGAGAACUGUCUGUUCAGUCUAUUUGUCCAUUUAUUGAUUGAUAUUUUUGUUUUGUGUGUGUAUAAUUUUCACAGUCCUUCAAAUAGUCUAGAUAAUAAUCCCCUGUCUGAUGUUAAGGUCUUCGAUCAGUUUUCAGUUUAUCUUUGUGCAGUUUGAGAGAUGUCAAUAUGUAUUCACUCUUGCAGGUGGAUAUACAAUUUUGCCAGCACUGUUGGAUAGUCUUAUCUUUUAUCUCAGGCAUGCCCAGAGGCCCAUCUCCCAGGGGAUUCUAGAGUCUGACAAGUUGACAACCAACAUUAACCGUCACAGAGCAGGGCAAGAAGAAAUUGGGUGAGUCAACCUGACACAGAAAGAAUGAUGGGAGAAGAAAGGAUGGAGUCAGGAGAAUUGCAAGAGAAGCCAGCCAGCCCCAGAGCAAGCAAAACCAGCCAGCCCCUGAGCCAACAGGACAUGUAAAAACUGAGGUAACAAGCCAUGAACCACGUGGCAAAGUAUAGAUAGAAUAUGGGUUAAUUUACAUGUAAGAGUUAGCUAAUAACAAGCCUGAGCUAUUGACCGAACAUUUAUAAUUAAUAUAAGUCUCUGUAUGUUUAUUUGAGAGGGCUGCAGGACAGGAAAACUUCUGUCUACAAUAAUUCCCUGGCCCAGACACAUCCAAAGCUAUAUCACCUAGCCAUAGACCCCUUUCUUUGAUGACCCUUUCCCUUUGGACUAGGGUCCUCACUCCAUUUUCUCCAAAAGGUCUCACAGCUGGAAGGAUUUCCUGCCCCAGUAUGCAAACUGGUCAGGACACCACCCACUGUGUACUGUGUGCUACUGCCACCUGGUGGUCACAUCUUUUUGUCCUAGCUCUGCUUGCUGACCUCAUGGCAGGGCCCGUGCCUGCAAGAGAAGCAAUCCAGUUGUUUGUGUCACUUUCUCAAGCCUGUAUACCACCCCUGACAUUCUCCUUUUGUUAUUUUUUUAAAUACACACAAAUGUUGUCACUCAUCAAAAAAAUUCUGAAGCCAGAAAUCCAGGAUGAUACUCAGAAGUCAUUUCAUUAAACCAUGCCCUAUAUAGGUGAGAAAAUAUGGGUUCAGACUUCUAUCAAAUUUAGAUCCUACUAAUCCCAGCUGCUUGGGGGGCUUCAUAGCCUGAGAUACAGAGUUUAAGUUAGCAUAAAACUACUGUGGAGAAGCCAUUGAGGAAGACACCCAACAGGAACUUCUGCCCUCCACAGGCACCCACAAGGGAGAACACACACAUAUACACAGGCAUAUGUGCCCACACACAAAUUAUUCACAAAAAUUGUUAAAUGGAGUAUAGUGUAGAAGUCUUCAUUGUUAAUCAUGAAUUUUUAUAAUUUGUCUGUAUAAAAUGAUGUACAGAAAAACGGCAUAGAAAUAUUCUUAAUAUUUUGGGGAUAAAUUAUAAAAUGUGUGUUGCAUUUAUAUAAGAAGAAAUAAAAGUGAACAUGAAAUAUUAAAUAGUUAUAUAUGCAUCUGAGUAUUAGCUAAUAA